UUCUUAUCAGCAGGGUGAAACAGAAUGCCAGCUAUCUUCGUCAAACUGAAAAGCCUCCCUCCCAUGCCUAGGGAGGACUUACAAGCAGCCUAGAAGAUUGUGUCAAAUCUUCAGGUCUGGAAAUGAGUUCAUAGCUAUUGCUCCAGCACCGUGCCUGCUUCUAUUCUCCCUGCCAUGAUAGCCAUAGACUCCUAGCCCUCUGAGGCUGUAAGCCCCAAAUGAACCC